rnacentral:misc_RNA from 1 species
UCAAACUUGGUCAUUUAGAGGAAGUAAAAGUCGUAACAAGGUUUCCGUAGGUAAGUUGGAAGCUCUACUUAACAUUUAACUAUCUCUCUAUGCUUGAAUAACAUGCUGACUUUCCUCUCUUAGGUGAACCUGCGGAAGGAUCAUUAUCGAGUGCGACCCCCUCGUAAAAAAAGGGGGUACCUCCCGUCCUUUGCUAAGCACCCCCACCUUUUUUGGAGGGGGGCCUUUUAAAACCUUACUGCUUCGGCGGGGUCAUUCCCGCCGGAACAACUUCAAAUUCUCGUUUUAACUGUUCAGUCCGAGAAAUUUUUUUAAAAGCGAAAAACUUUCAACAACGGAUCUCUUGGUUCUGGCAUCGAUGAAGAACGCAGC